GACGAACGCUGGCGGCGCGCUUAACACAUGCAAGUCGAACGGAAAGGCCUGCUUUCCCUUGUGGAUUGCGGGUACUCGAGUGGCGAACGGGUGAGUAACACGUGAGUGAUCUGCCCCCAACUUGGGUAUAAGCCCGGGAAACUGGGUCUAAUUCCCGAUAGGACUGCAGGGUGGUGCCUGUGGUGGAAAACGAUUUUCUAGUGGUUGGGGAUGAGCUCGCGGCCUAUCAGCUUGUUGGUGGGGUAAUGGCCUACCAAGGCGGCGACGGGUAGCCGGCCUGAGAGGGUGGACGGCCACAUUGGGACUGAGAUACGGCCCAGACUCCUACGGGAGGCAGCAGUGGGGAAUAUUGCACAAGGGGCGGAAGCCUGAUGCAGCGACGCCGCGUGGGGGAUGACGGCCUUCGGGUUGUAAACUCCUUUCGACCGCGAGGAAGCCACCUGGUUGGAAGGGUGGUGACGUUAGUGGUAGAAGAAGCACCGGCUAACUACGUG
rnacentral:rRNA from 1 species